rnacentral:rRNA from 1 species
AGUGAACGCUGGCGGCAGGCCUAACACAUGCAAGUCGAGCGGCAGCGGGUUCCCGCGAGGGGAUGCCGGCGAGCGGCGGACGGGUGAGGAACACAUCGGAAUCUGCCUGGUUGUGGGGGGAUAACGUAGGGAAACUUACGCUAAUACCGCAUGCGACCCUGAGUCGACGGACUGGGGGGUGAAAGUGAGGGACCUUCGGGCCUCACGCGACCAGAUGAGCCGAUGUCGGAUUAGCUAGUUGGCGGGGUAACGGCCCGCCAAGGCGACGAUCCGUAGCUGGUCUGAGAGGAUGAUCAGCCACACUGGGACUGAGACACGGCCCAGACUCCUACGGGAGGCAGCAGUGGGGAAUCUUGGACAAUGGGCGCAAGCCUGAUCCAGCCAUGCCGC